rnacentral:lncRNA from 1 species
GACAUUCUAUCUUUAUCAGGUUUCAGAGGACCAGAAAACAGAAAGUUAACUGAAGGUCAGAUUGUCACGCAGAAGGGUGAAACCUUCAUGACUCCUUCACCUGCAUCAUUCCAUUCUAUUUUGAAGAUAAUUUACAGCAAGAUUUAAAGACCCGCAAAUAUUUAGGCUGUCUUUUCCUGCCACAAAUUUUGCAUGGCCUUUUCCUUGCCGGUGUCUGGCACCUCGGUGUGAGUUAGAAAAAGAAACCAAACCCAAGUCUUGGAGACUGGAUGGCUGACUGCACAAGUCAUUUGGAGGGACAGUUCUUGAACAAGGAUGUCUAGAUCUGGAGAACUGCUGGGAAGGUAACAUGCACUUUUUAUUUCUGUAAAGAUACAAACAAAAUUUGGGAUUCUAAUUGGGAUCGUGUCAAAUAUAUGGAUGGAUUUGGAGAGAGGUUGACUUUUUGAAACACUGAAUCUCUCCUGUAAGAACACAGUAGAAUUCAUUCAUCCAGGUCUUCUUUUUUUGCCCUCUAAGGAAGUUUCACAGAUUUCUUAGUGUCAGUCUUAUGUGUUUCUUAUUACAUUUAUCUCAAGACGUCUCAUAGGCCUGGUUGCUAUUGUGAACAGAAUUUUAUUCUAGUUUUUGAAGCUAAUGAUUUAGCACAUGUUAAUCUUUAAUCCACUCAUUUCACUGACUAGUUCUAUCAGCUUUUAACUGACAGAAAAUCUACAUUCAG